rnacentral:sRNA from 1 species
CAAUGGAUGCCGACGUAUUCCAAAUCUGUUUAAAAAAUAGUCAACCGGCAGUGGCGUAGUGCGAAAGGUAGCCAAUACUUGAAGUGUCGGCGCGCUCACACCCCCCAAGUGGCACGCCGGUAAAGGUGCCCAUGGACCGUGCGCCUUUGUUUUACUCCUAAUGGUCUUAACCCGGAUUCACCCCCCAGAACCCGG